rnacentral:rRNA from 1 species
AAAAUUUAAUUAAAGUUUAUUUUUAGGAAUAUUUAAAUAGUUGCAAAAAAUAAUUGUUUGUUUAGUAGUUAUUAAUGAAAUACUUGUUAUAUUUAUAUAUUUUGUACAGUAGUGGGAAUUUAAAAUUAUUUAAAAGUAAAAUUUAUUUUUUGUACCUUUUGUAUCAGGGUUUAUUAAAUUAUAUUAAUUAUUUAAUUUUCCCGAAAUUAAUGGGGAUAUAUUAGAAUAAUUGUUUAUGUAGUAAUAUAAAAUUAAAUUCUAAUAUAGAGAUGAUAUGUCAUUCAACAUUAAUAUAUCUGGUUUUUUAAUAAUUGCAUUUAAUGCAGAGUAAAAUUUAUUUAUUUCUUAUAUUAUAAAUGUAUAUUUUACUUUAGGUAGAGGGGGAUUAGCUCUUCUAUCAAUCUAAAUUUUUAUUAUUAUUAAUAAGUUAUGUAGGAUUAGAAAUUUCCAUCUUUUAUUUUGUUAUAAUUAUUCUUAAUUUAUUAUUUAUUUUAAUAUUAUUAGAUUUUUAUUAAAAUAAAUCGUUUAAUUACUAAUUGAUUGAAAAAAUGAUAGAAUUAGUAAUUGUUUAUGUAUAUUAUAGUAACUCGGCAAAUUUAACCUUCACCUGUUUAACAAAAACAUGUCCUUUAGUGAAUUGAUUUAAGGUCAGGCCUGCCCAAUGAUUAAUUUAAUGGCCGCAGUAUUUUAACUGUGCGAAGGUAGCAUAAUCAAUUGUUCUUUAAUUGGGAACUGGAAUGAAUGGUUUGAUGAGGGGUUAACUUUCUUUAUUAUAUAGAAUGAAUUUAAUUUUUAGGUUAAAAAGCUUAAAUUAAGUUAAGGGACGAGAAGACCCUAUAGAACUUUAUAUAUUAAUAAAUUUAUUAACAUUUAGUGAAUAUUGUUAAUAAAUUUAUUAAUAUAUUUGGUUGGGGUGACGAAUAAAUUUUACUAACUUUAUUUAUUAUUUUUCAUAGAUAAGUGUUUUUAUGAUCCGUAAAUUACGAUUAUAAGAUUAAGUUACCUUAGGGAUAACAGCGUAAUUUCUCUAGAGAGUUCACAUUAAUAGAGGAGUUUGCGACCUCGAUGUUGGAUUAAAAUAAGUUUUGGGCGUAGUAGCUCAUUAACUAAGUCUGUUCGACUUUUAAAAUUUUACGUGAUCUGAGUUCAGACCGGCGUGAGCCAGGUUGGUUUCUAUCUUUAAAUAGAAUAAUACUUUUUAGUACGAAAGGACCAAGAGUAUAAAAUAAUUUUGUUGAAAUUGAUUAAUAUU